rnacentral:misc_RNA from 1 species
GAUGAAGAACGUAGCGAAAUGCGAUAAGUAGUGUGAAUUGCAGAAUUCUGUGAAUCAUCGAAUCUUUGAACGCACAUUGCGCCCCUUGGUAUCCCGAGGGGCAUGCCUGUUCGAGCGUCAUUUCACCACUCAAGCCUGGCUUGGUGUUGGGCGACGUCCCCUUUAGGGACGCGCCUCGAAACGCUCGGCGGCGCGGCACCGGCUUUAAGCGUAGCAGAAUCUUUCGCUUUGGAAGUCGGGGCCCCGCCUGCCGGAAUACCUACUUGUAAGGUUGACCUCGGAUCAGGCAGGGAUACCCGCUGAACUUAAGCAUAUCAAUAAGCGGAGGA